UUUCAUCCGAGGGUGAUGAAUAUUCUCUCUUAAGAGCUAAGAAGGGUAGAUGUGUUGGCAGCCUCCAGAAAGCUGAGCCUCCUAACAUUGGAAUUCUGCUCCUGGGUUACAGCCACCAUAUGCGUAGAUCAUAUUGUCAAGAAAAAGAAUAGUGACAAAAGAAUUGUCAAGAAAAAGAAGUGUGUUAAAAAGGGAUAGAGACAGAAACUAAGAUGUGUCUCCAAUGUCCAACAAAACAAACAAACAAACAAAAGUAGAGCAAAAAAGAGCAGGUCAACAAAAUAUGUGAUUCAUAAAAUAAAUUAUGUCAGUGGUCUUCAAAAUGUAAGGCGACUAAAAUGCAUGUCUCAUCUCUUGAAAAGGCAGAGGGACUACCAGUGCACAUGUCCUCAAGUGGAAGCAUGGCUGGCUUGCUCUAGAAACAGCAAGAAUGCCAC
rnacentral:lncRNA from 1 species